rnacentral:rRNA from 1 species
GAUGAACGCUAGCGGCAGGCCUAAUACAUGCAAGUCGAACGGGAUCUGAGGGUAGCUUGCUACCCGAUUUGAGAGUGGCGCACGGGUGCGUAACGCGUGAGCAACCUACCCAUAUCAGGGGGAUAACCCGGAGAAAUUCGGAUUAAUACCGCAUAAGAAUGUAUUAACACAUGUUAAAGCAUUUAAAUAUUUAUAGGAUAUGGAUGGGCUCGCGUGACAUUAGCUAGUUGGUGAGGUAACGGCUAACCAAGGCGACGAUGUCUAGGGGCUCUGAGAGGAGAAUCCCCCACACUGGUACUGAGACACGGACCAGACUCCUACGGGAGGCAGCAGUAAGGAAUAUUGGUCAAUGGGCGAAAGCCUGAACCAGCCAUGCCGCGUGCAGGAUGACUGCCCUAUGGGUUGUAAACUGCUUUUGUCGAGGAAUAAACCUAUCUACGUGUAGCUAGUUGAACGUACUCGAAGAAUAAGGAUCGGCUAACUCCGUGCCAGCCGCCGCGGUAA